UUCAGGUUUUUUGUAUUUUUUUAUAAAUUGGUGCCCUCCUAAUGUGUGGCCUGUUACACAAUAAAAUAUGCUAAUUUUUAUUUUUAGUUACAGUUAAACAUGUAACUAAAUGCAUUGGUUUAAGCGUAAUUGUAGUGAGUUUGUCUUACAAUAAUAAUGCUUGAUGAAAAUAAAUGAAAUAUAAGUUGUAUCGGGGGAAAAAUCAACAAUUGUUAGCAAGUCAUUUUUAUUAGCAAUAUGAUAAACAUGCAUAAAAUAGUAAAUCAAAUGCAAGUCCUAAGUUAAUAUAGUUCAAGCUAUUAUGAUCUAAAACACAUUCAUGGGUUUGCAAAAAUAAUUUAUUGAUGUGUAACACACCCCAUAUUCAUUGACCAGCUUAUGAUUAGGCUUGCGUUCGAUGUGGUGCUCAUUAAGUGUCGUCAUAAAUUUUAUCAUAAGCUUUCCAAAUAACAUGCUAUCAGCUAGGGUUUAUAGAGGUUACCCAGGGAGAAAUUGAAUUGGCCACUUGUUGUUGACAAUUUUUAGAAGCUUUAUUGUUGUUGCUUUUGGUGCACUCUUCAAUUUCUCCAUAUUUUAACUUUGAUACCUAAAUUGGUGGAGAUGUGUAGUGGGAUAUUGAAGUGGGACGACUUUAACUUGUUGGUUUUGAUGUGGAGGGAUUAUUUGAUGUGACAAAAGGGUAUGCUUGACUAUCAUUAUUUUUUCGUUUAGGAUAAGGGUGAGGGCUAGGUUUAGCUUUGCUUGGGGUGAGGCCAAGAUGUAAGGAGAGAUACAUGGAUGCUGUCGGAAGGAGUUGAAAUUAGGGUUUAUCAUGGGAAAAAUUGAGAACUUGAAGGGAAGUUGAGAAGAGCUUUGGGAGAUGAUUGGAGCUUGAGUGUAGGAGAGAGAUACAAUUAUGACCUACAGUACAAGUAAACAAAAGGAUAAAAGUAUUAUGGUUGGUUUUUAACCACCAAGCCUCAACUAAGGUUUGACCACUAAGCCAAGAACCCACCCAAGUUAAGAGAACUUCAAUUCUAAUUUCACCAAAAGUUUUAUUACCUUUUAUUGUUCUUUUUCAUACGAUUUGUAAACUCUGCAAUCUUUUAUGGCAUCUAAGCUAUUCUCAUGUACAAUUGGCUACUUUAUUGACCAAUCAUGCUAGCAGCUUGUGAACAGAGAUGGUAGUGCUGCAGAAGCUGAUUAGAAUUUGAUCUGUGCUAAGCUAAGAAAUUGCAGCAGCUGAUUAGAAUUUGAUCUGUGCUAAGGUGGGAGUGUUUCCUCAUUAACAUCUUACAGCCUUUUUUGGGCUCUUUUUUUGUACUGCUGGCAAUUUUUUGGAGCACUGAUAUUUAACCAUUGAACGCUUUUGGGUAGCAUUGAAAUCCUUUUUGUGAUAUGGACCAAUAGUUAAUAUUUCCAUGGGCAUAAUUUUGUCAGGUUGAACCAACCACCUAGUUUAAUAAUCAGAUAUACUUUUAUCUUUCA